AUGGGUAAAAGCUCGACCUCGGUUGGGGUGCGUGUACGGGAGACCAUGUCGUCGAGCCGCUUCACGGAGCGCACCGAGACGCUCAGUUUGGAGGUGCCCGACUACCUUCAGAUCAAGGACAUGGGCCUCGGAGAGUUCGUUACCUCGCGCGUCUUCCCAGUCGGUGGCUACGAGUGGGAGAUCAGGUUCUACCCAGGCGGAAAAGACCGGCACUGCGCCGGCAACGCCUCCGCGUACGUGUUCUGCCGCAGCCAAGUCACGGACGUGAGCACCCGGUUCACGUUGAGCAUGCUGCACACCAAGGGCCAGGUGCAGGUAGCAAGCUUCGACCCGAGGAAGCGCGUCUUCUCGCCAAAAGCAACGAGAUACAAUGAGUGGGGCCACCCCAAAUUCGUAGAGAGGGCCAAGAUGGAAUCGCUGUCGCAGCUCGGGGACGGCUGCUUCACGAUACUGUGCGUCCUCACCGUCGUCAUGGACGAGCCACCGUCUCUGGAGCUGCCCAGCCACCUCGAGCGCAUGCUCGAGGACGGGCGGGGCGCCGACGUGACGUUCAGCGUGGCCAACCAGGAGUUCCGCGCUCACAGUUUUCUCCUGGCGGCGCGAUCGCCGGUCUUUGCGGCGCAGCUAUUUGACCUAAUGGAGGGUGUGCGGCGAGUGGAGAUUGCGGACGUGGAGCCUGCCAUAUUCAAGAUGAUGCUUCAGUACGUCUACACGGAGUCGCUGCCACCGUACGACGACGAAGGCGGAAACAACAUCAGGGUGAUGCAGCAUUUACUAGUGGCAGCAAAUAGGUACGAUCUAGGAAGGUUGAAGCUGGUGUGCGAAGAAGAACUGCGCAAAAGAAUCGACUCAGAGAACAUCGCAACCGUGUCGGCGCUGGCAGAUCAGCAGCAGUGCAAAGGCCUCAAAGUUGCAUGCAUGGACUUCAAAUCGUCA
rnacentral:rRNA from 1 species